AUUAAUAAGCGGAGGAAAAGAAACCAACCGGGAUUCCCACAGUAACGGCGAGUGAAGUGGGACGAGCCCAGCACCGAAUCGCGCGCCGUCGGGCGUAGCGAACUGUGGUGUUCAGGACGAGCGCCUGCGCGUCGGAACGCUGUCCGAGUCCUCCUGAUCGGGGCUUGCCAGAGCGGGUGUCAGCCCUCUACGGCGACGGACCGGCGCGCCCGCCACGUCCUCGGAGUCGGGUUGUUUGAGAAUGCAGCCCAAAGUCGGUGGUAAACUCCAUCUAAGGCUAAAUACGGACGCGAGUCCGAUAGCGAACAAGUACCGUGAGGGAAAGUU
rnacentral:rRNA from 1 species